rnacentral:rRNA from 1 species
UACGUAGGCAGCGAGCGUUGUUCGGAAUUACUGGGCGUAAAGAGUGUGUAGGCGGUGCUCUAAGUUCGGUGUGAAAUCUCCUGGCUCAACUGGGAGGGUGCGCCGGAAACUGGAGUGCUUGAGCGUGGGAGAGGAAAGCGGAAUUCCUGGUGUAGCGGUGAAAUGCGUAGAUAUCAGGAGGAACACCUGUGGCGAAAGCGGCUCACUGGACCAUAACUGACGCUGAUGCACGAAAGCUAGGGGAGCAAACAGG